rnacentral:rRNA from 1 species
AUGUUUUCCACGGCCAGUGUCGUGGCUUUGGGUGACGGCAACACUGCAAAAUUUUGGACGGACAACUGGCUGCCGGAUGACCGAUCCCUCGCUACAAAGGUUCCAGCACUCUUUUCGUUUGUGAAAGACUCCAAUCUAACAGUCUACGAGGCACUACAUAAUAGCAGAUGGAUCAAAGAUAUCAGGGGCGGUACCUCCACUACGGCUUUAGCACAAUAUCUGCAGGUAUGGGAUAUAACACACGACACUCAAUUGUCGCCAACUACAAUGGACAGACUACAGUGGAAACUUACCGACGAUCAGCGCUUCUCGGUCAGGAACGCCUACGGAAUGUUUUUCAUGGCCAAUGUCCAUAGCACGGAAGACUGGUGGUUGAAGGCCAGGAGCAAGGUCCCCAAGCAGAUGCGCAGGAACUUUGACACGGUCAUCAUUCUCAUCCACUAGAGGUUGUGGAAGGAAAGCAAUGCUAGAAUUUUUGACCACACCGCCAGUAGCGUCGACAGAGUCUUGGACCAGAUUAGAGAAGAUCUUCAAGUCUGGAGGGCAGCGGGGUGUGUUGUUGACCUUGCUAUGUAA